AUGGCGGUUACCGAAAAGCCUAAUAGUAAACAGAGUAGGUA
rnacentral:ncRNA from 1 species